GUAAAGUUUAAAGCCCGUGGCAAGGGCUCAUUUUUCUCAUUUCAGGCAAGGGAGAAAGGAUAUAAAAUGAAAAGCAAGCAAUCAAUAAAGAAGAAAGAUAGAGAUCUUCCCCAAAAAGGAAAAAAAGAAAUCCUAACCUCACUGAUGACUCCUCUAACUAAGACUUUAACAGGCAGAUAAUGAGCUCACAGAUCCUCCGGUCAGGUCAGGGAUGGAGAACAGACCCCCAAUGCCAUCAUAAUCCAUGCCCCUCCUCUUCUUGCACCUUGCAAUAAUGGGAUGCAACUCCCAUUGUGAGCUUUUGGAUGUUUUUGUAGACAAACUCAGCCUUCCUUAUUCCUGUCAGUCAACCUUUAAAGUAAUAGCCAGAAUGGUUAAUUACUUAUCUGGCAACCAAGAUAGGGAAUUGUGGUAGUUUGUUGAAAUCAAGUAAUAAAUGCUGCAAUCCUACCUGCUUAAGUGGAGGUAUCUACCCCCCAUGGCUCAUGAGAGAAUGAAAGAAAAGGGUUGGCUGUGUGAUUCUGAAGAACCACUUACCUCUGGGUCCUGCUUCCUCCUCUGCUCCCUGGAAGAGAUCUCUGAGGUCCUUUCCAGUCCCAGGAGUCUCAGACAAGCAAUGCUAAGAAGCACAGAAACCUAGAGGAAUGAUGGGUCCAGUGUUUAAUUUUUCAGCCAUGAGCUAAAAGAAGAGGAACAACCUUUAUUGCUGAGCUCCUAUUCGACAGUUGAUGCCCGUGUACAUGCAGAAACCAAUUAACUAUGAGGAGUAAUUGAAAUCAUUAAUAGCCACAAACAAAUGUGUCUAUUCUGCAAGUAAUUUGCAGUAACAUUUAGUAAUUGAUAGUAAUUUUUAGUAAUUAAACUAAUUCAUUUGCCAAGCUAUGCAGCCAUUUUAAUGGGGUUCCUCAGUGUUCCCACAGCAAAUCUUAAUUACUUAACUCAAGCACCAGGAAUAUUUCUGUCAUUUCUAAAAACAAUAUAUAGCAUGUGCUAUUCUGGGUAAGUUGCAGUAGAGAGGAAGCCAAGGAGAGGAAUUAUUUUCCUGGGCAGUAGUAAUUAAAAGACUAAAGCUAUUAUUUGGGCCAAUAACAAGGUUGUGGAGUGAAACCCUGUAGAUACAUAUAUAUGCUCUCUUUUUUUGUCUAUGCUUCACGGAAAGUCAAAGUGAAAUCUGGGUUAUAACAACUUAUUUCUCUCUCCUCCUCUCCUAAAUGUUUUGGCCUAGCCUUUACCAGGUUUGUUCAGGCUAUUAUAAACCCAUGCAUGAGUUGCUUGUGGCAGGGAGCAAUCAGAAACCUAUUUUCUUCUUCAGGAUACAACCUGCAGUUCUGAUUUUGAUAUUCCCUGUUAUUCUACAACGUAAUUUGAAUAUGCCAUUCAUAGUGAUUUAUUAGCUAUAGAGGACAGAGAGUUGCUUGCUCAGCAUCUUGCUCUCCUUCCUUUUUCCUAGCAGUACCCCAACUUUAUUCAGGAAUCCAUCCCUUCUCCCUGCAGCCUAUGUGAUUGGGGGAAGCUCUCCCUGGGAUGGGUAUUGGUUAGUCUAAGCCAGUCAUGGUGACUCCACUACAGGCUCUUGCUGGAGAUCAGUUCAGGAAGUCAGGCUGAUACUUUCCAGAAGUGAUCAUGUGACUCUAGCUGGGUCAGUCAGAGAAAAAGAAAGGGCCUUCCUUCCAUGGGUAGGAGAGAGACUGUCUUCCCUCUCCCUUCCUUUCAGGGUGUGAGGAACGGAGCACAUUGGCUGCACCAGCUGCAGGCUGCCAUCUUGAUGCUGUGUGGGAAACAAUGUCUCAGAACAAGCUUUACUGAGAAAUGGACAGAGUCAAGAGCAUUGUAGAGAAACUGAACCUAAGUUCUCCUGUGCCUAGAGUUCUAUUUUCUCGACUUCUAGUCAAGUGAGAUAAUACAUUUUUCCUAGGUUUUUAUCAAGUUUGAACAUGGCUUUCUGCCAUUUGCAGCCCCAAGUAUCUUGACCCAUUUGACUCCAGUCUUCAUGUUUCACCCCAAUCCAGUUGCUGCAUUCCUGAAACAAGUCUCCAUACUUGGCUCACAUAUUAUUGUCCCAGCUUGUGCCACUUCUCUCUUUCUAGGGGAGAUUCUGCAGAAGUGAAACUGUGAACUUUCAAGCUCAGCUCCAGGCCCACCUCUGCUGUGAAGCUUUCAUUGAGCACCUGAGUCCUCUCUGAAAUUCUGUAACUUGUCUGAGCUCUGUAUUUGACAUUCCUCAUUUACAGGUGGCAUAUAAACAUCUUCUCGACUAGAUUCUGCACAACAGUGAGGGUGUCACCUGACCUGACAAUCCGGAAGGGAAGAUGAACUAGACACCCAUAGAAACUAAUACCAAGAGGUCUUCUUGAGGUAGAAAAGAGAGAGAAGUUAGGAAAACACUGCAGACAUUUAGAGGAGGAGGAGGGCAUUUUGGACAAGUUUAGCUGGGAAGAUAGGAAAUUUUCUUGAAGAGAAAGAAUCAAAGUGGGAGCUUUAAAAUGCAUAGGAUAAAGGUUAUAUGUGAAUGUAUUCUUUUAUUCAUUCUGUUAAUAUUUAUUGAACAUCUACUUUAUACCAAGCAUCAUGCCAAGUUUUUUUAUCCUAUAUAGCUCAUCUUAUUUAAAUUUCAAAACAGCAUCCCUUACAAAUGGAGAUACCUGUGAUCAGAGAGGUAUAUAAUUUUUUUCCCAAAGUUGGGGUAGGCUUCAAAUCUAGAUCUCUUCACCCCUAGUUCAAAGCAGUUUCUGUACCUCACAGAUAUAGUUCAACUCUGACCAAAUGGGGUCAGCAAACAUUUUUUCUACAGGCCAGACAGCAAAUAUUUUAGGCUUUACAGGCCACACAGUCUCGGUUGCAGCUACUCCAGUCUGCUGCUGUAGCACAAAAGCAGCUAAUGUGUAAUUAAUACAUGUUCCAAUAAAACUUUACUUAGAGCAUUAAAAUGUAAAUUU
rnacentral:lncRNA from 13 species